CAUGUCCAGGCCGAGAGAGGGGAGCCCCGGGCUCGGGGCGCCUGGCCUGGAGGUGUCCGCCAGCCGGGCCCGCCCCCGUUCCAAAGGGCGCCGCCCGCCCUGGUUGCGAACCCCACUCCCACUCCCCCACAGCCAGGUGCUUCUGGAGGUGAGAGUUCAGUGCUGGCAGUGUUGUCCCUGACAAGCGGGGAGGCGAAGGAGCACGCUUUUCUGCCUAGGAAGAAACCGGGGAACCGUCCGAUGUCUCCGGAGAGAAAAGUGCUUCUCUCUCUGAGAACCCUGCACAGAAUUUAGUGAGAGCGCGCGGGGAAGUGUGCACCUACCUGGCUAAAGGAUUAUAGGAACAUCUGACUUCUGCCAUAAGAAGAUUAUAUACCUAAUUAGAAGCCUGUUGGCAUCUGACUGAAUUCACAUAGUGUUUGAUCAUAUGCAGAGAAAAUAGAAGAGGAAAAAAUGUGAGAAAGUCACCUAAUGCCAACCCAGAGCAAUUUAUCAGAAUCAUUGCCCAUCAUUUAUGGUGAGUACUUCAUGAACCAGGAAUUGGAACAUGAAGAAAAGAAAGGAAAAAAAUAGGAAAGAAAGAAGAGAAGAAAAAAGACCCUCAGCACUCCUGGAAGCACUUUGCAUGCCGGAGAACCUUCUGUGUAUGUGGUCAUUGAACAGCACAACUUGCCAAGUGAAUUCAUUUCACUUUUCCCUUACCUGACAGCCUCUCUCAUCUAAACACUCCCCACAGUUCCAAGUAGUGUUAUCCCUGACACAACAAACCACAAACUGUUAAUCAAGUAGACACUAUCUUGUGUUGACUGGGGACACAGGAUGAGGGAGGUGGAGAGGCGUUUCUGGGGACCUGGGGAGUUCCCCAUCAGAGUGGAAAUUUAGGAUUAAGGAUGGUGCCAUAUUAGUGCCCAGUGCCAGAUCCAGGAGCCUCAGUAUACUGGAUGAGUUUAAUGUGUCAUGGUGUGUGUACCUGUGAUAUAUGGAGCCCCUGACAGCAUGGACCAGCUCCAGCCCCUUACUGUCAGCAUUGCCAAUUCAGAGUUCCAUACACAGGGUCCGUUUGUCUGGAAAACUGUGAUGGGCUCUAACGACCUAGCAUUUAUCCACGUCCAACUCCCAAAUUGCCAACCAUAAGGAGUAAUGAAGAGGCUGCAGGCCAGCUGUUUCUGUGACUCACUUUGAGCCACUGUCCCAUUCAGUCACUCCUUCAUUCUGCCCUUACUGUGUGGAGGUACCACUGUGGGCAGAGUGAGCAAGGCAGAUGGUUCUGUCCUCACAGAGCAGAGGGAGAAGACUAAAGGUACAUAUAAUCAAACCAGUAAGUAAGAGAGUUUAAUAGAAGAAUAAAUUUUAAGAAGACAACAAAGCAGAAAAUGGAUUGGGGUGGGGAACUUUGGCUAAGGGGGAGGAAGGUGACCUUUUGGCUGAACCCCGUUGCACCAUCGGAGGUAACUGUACACACACUGGGUGGAUUAGCUGGCUGGAUUUCCUGAUAUUAGAGGGUUAAGCAGAAUCACUUCUCAAACUUCAACUUGAUGACCAUCUUUCUGAAGUAAUUUCAGGUGCAUUUUCUUAGCAAAGUGAAUAGUGUAACCAAUAUAAACUUCUUCAUACUUCUGGAUAUUCCAGCUGCUUGAUGGUUAGUGCACAAAAGAUAUAGAAUAUGUUGUGAUUAGGCCCAAAUUGGCCUGAAUCCAGAAUUUGUCCUACAAAAAGCAUUAUAUUAGCAGAAUUUUAUAUCAGCUAUUUUUCUACCUCUCUCUUUUUAAUACCAAUAAAGUAAUAAAAAAUUAAAAAUCCCUGAGACUUUGGUAAAAUAACAUUCUUCUAUAACUGAUUUUAAUAUGAAAGACUUGAUUAACCAGGUAAUUUUUUUGCCAUCUGGGGAUUGAAUGCAGGGUGAGUGCAACACAAGUGAUCUACCAAUGAGGUACAUUCCCAACCCUUUUUAUUUUACUUUGAAAUAAAUAAAAUAAAACAAGGUCUUGCUGAGUUGCUGAGGCUGGCCUUGAACUCACCAUCGUCCUACCUCAGCAGUUGAGAUUACAGACAUGAGCCACCAUGUUCAGUUUAACCAGGCAAGUUUUUAAAAAGCAAAAUUAGGUUAUGAACUCCCAUUUUUACCCCGGAUACAGAUUGCAGCAUCACAUCGGUUACACAUCCACUGUUUUACAUAUUGCUAUACUAGUGACUGUUGUAUUCUGCUGCCUUUCCUAUCCUCUACUAUCCCCCAUCCCCUCCCCUCCCCUCCCAUCUUCUUUCUCUACCCCAUCUACUGUAAUUCAUUUCUCCCCCUUGUUUUUUUUUACUUGAAUCAAAGUGUGAAAUAUGAUUUGUCAAGAACUAUGUAAUGUUUUGAACAACCAACAAUAAAAAUUAAAGAAAAAAAAGCAAAAUUAGUAUAGAAUGUGAUUUUUGGAAAAUGUUUUUAAAAUUCCAGUCCUGUAUAUGCCAUGAGAUUUUUAAUAAAAGAAUCCCUGAAGUUAUAACUUCUUAGUCAGCCAAUGUAUCCUAUAGGCUGAUAUAUAGAACAACAACUUAUUUUUUUUUCAAUUUAGAAAAGGGAAAUUUACUAGUUGGUUUUAAGAGAAAUAUGCAUACAUAAUGUGGGAUUUUUUUCUAACUCAUAAGUAUUUUAUUCAUAGAAAUGAAUCAGUCUAAACUGGGCAUAAUCCCAGUAGCUCAGGAGGCUAAGGUAGGAGGAUGACAAGUUCAAAGCCAACCUCAGCAACUAUUCAAACCCCUAAGCAACUUUGUGAGACCCUGUCUCAAAAAAAAGUAGAAGCAGGCUGGGGAUGUGGCUCAGUGGUUAAGCACCUCCUGGGUUCCAUCUCUGGAAAAAAAAAGUCUUUCCUUACAAUAUUUUCUAAAUAUGAAAGAGAAGAGAAUCAUUAGGCUUUGUUGUUGUUAUGGUUUAGAUAUUAGGUGUCCCCCAAAACUUAUGAGAGACAAUGCAAGAAGUUUUAGAAGAGAAAUGAUUGAAUUCUGAGAGCCUUAACCCAAUAAGUGAAUUAAUCCCCUGAUGGGGAUUAACUGAGUGGUAAUUGAAAGUGAGUAGGGUGUAGCUGGAGAAGGUGGGUCAUGUGGGUGUGACUUUGGGGUAUAUAUUUUGUAUCUGGUCAGUGGAGCCUCUCUCUGCUUCCUGAUCAUCAUGUGAGCCACUUCCCUCUGCUACUCUCUUCUGCCAUGAUGUUCUACUUUACCUCAAGCCCUGAGGAAUGGAGCUGGCUAUUUAUGAACUGAGACCUCUGA